rnacentral:rRNA from 1 species
GGGCCCGCACAAGCGGUGGAGCAUGUGGUUUAAUUCGAUGAUACGCGAGGAACCUUACCAGGGCUUAAAUGUAGUGGGACAGGUCUAGAGAUAGACCCUUCUUCGGACUCAUUACAAGGUGCUGCAUGGUUGUCGUCAGCUCGUGCCGUGAGGUGUCAGGUUAAGUCCUAUAACGAGCGCAACCCCUAUCGUUAGUUGCCAGCGAGUAAUGUCGGGAACUCUAACGAAACUGCCAGUGCAAACUGUGAGGAAGGUGGGGAUGACGUCAAAUCAUCACGGCCCUUACGUCCUGGGCUACACACGUGCUACAAUGGCCGGUACAGAGGGCAGCCACACCGCAAGGUGGAGCGAAUCUAUUAAAACCGGUCUCAGUUCGGAUCGGAGUCUGCAACUCGACUCCGUGAAGCUGGAAUC